rnacentral:rRNA from 1 species
UACAGAGGGGGCAAGCGUUGUUCGGAAUUACUGGGCGUAAAGGGCGCGUAGGCGGCCUUCUAAGUUAGGUGUUUAAUCCCGGGGCCCAACCCCGGACAGGCACCUAAAACUGGGAGUCUUGAAUAGUGGAGAGGACGGCGGAAUUGGGGGUGUAGCGGUGGAAUGCGUAGAGAUCCCCAAGAACACCAGUUGCGAAGGCGGCCGUCUGGACACAUAUUGACGCUGAGGCUCGAAAGCAUGGGGAGCAAACAGG